rnacentral:rRNA from 1 species
UUGACAUCCAGAGAAUUUAGCAGAGAUGCUUUAGUGCCUUCGGGAACUCUGAGACAGGUGCUGCAUGGCUGUCGUCAGCUCGUGUUGUGAAAUGUUGGGUUAAGUCCGCAACGAGCGCAACCCUUAUCCUUUGUUGCCAGCACGUAAUGGUGGGAACUCAAAGGAGACUGCCGGUGAUAAACCGGAGGAAGGUGGGGAUGACGUCAAGUCAUCAUGGCCCUUACGAGUAGGGCUACACACGUGCUACAAUGGCGUAUACAAAGAGAAGCGACCUCGCGAGAGCAAGCGGACCUCAUAAAGUGCGUCGUAGUCCGGAUUGGAGUCUGCAACUCGACUCCAUGAAGUCGGAAUCGCUAGUAAUCGUAAAUCAGAAUGUUACGGUGAAUACGUUCCCGGGCCUUGUACACACCGCCCGUCACACCAUGGGAGUGGGUUGCAAAAGAAGUAGAUAGCUUAACCUUCGGGAGGGCGUUUACCACUUUGUGAUUCAUGACUGGGGUGAAGUCGUAACAAGGUAGGCGUAGUGCU